GGUAAUUGCAGAAUCUUACUAUUUUGGGCACACAAACAUGCCCUUAAGCUCGUCUAAAAAUUUUGAAACUUACCCGAGAUGUACUUUUGACUUGCCCCAUCGCGUAUCAAUAAAAAAUCAAGAAACAGAGGUUGGGAAGGUCGUAAAAUAAUUCAUCAAAGUUUGAGGCUCGAAAAUUAAACUAAGUGUUGAACACUUAGCUAAAAUUCUAAGUGUAAGACUUCUUUUGACAUGCUGUAAAUACUUAGACAAUAAGGAAAACUCGUGGGGUCUUACAAUAUCUCC
rnacentral:lncRNA from 1 species